GGGGAAUUUUGGACAAUGGGCGCAAGCCUGAUCCAGCAAUGCCGCGUGCAGGAUGAAGGCCUUCGGGUUGUAAACUGCUUUUGUACGGAACGAAAAGCCUCUCUCUAAUACAGGGGGGUGAUGACGGUACCGUAAGAAUAAGCACCGGCUAACUACGUGCCAGCAGCCGCGGUAAUACGUAGGGUGCAAGCGUUAAUCGGAAUUACUGGGCGUAAAGCGUGCGCAGGCGGUUUUGUAAGACAGUGGUGAAAUCCCCGGGCUCAACCUGGGAACUGCCAUUGUGACUGGUCGGCUAGAGUACGGCAGAGGGGGGUGGAAUUCCACGUGUAGCAGUGAAAUGCGUAGAGAUGUGGAGGAACACCGAUGGCGAAGGCAGCCCCCUGGGCCGAUACUGACGCUCAUGCACGAAAGCGUGGGUAGCAAACA
rnacentral:rRNA from 1 species